AACGCACCUUGCGCUCCCUGGUAUUCCGGGGAGCACGCCUGUUCGAGUGUCGUGAAGUCCUCAAGCCGGGAUGGUUUUUGCGAAUCGUCCUUGGCUUGGAUUUGGACUUUGCCGUGUUGUUGGUUCGCUUUGCGAGCUUCUGAACGGCUGGUCUUAAAAGCAUUAGCUGGUCCAUGUUUGUACUAAUGGUUCUUACUCGGCGUGAUAAGUAUCUGAUCGCUGAGGACAUCUUGCAGCAAUGUGAGGUGGCCAUACGUGCCUUGGUCCGCUUCUAAUCUUUGCCUUACGGCAAAACAACCUUUCAAGCUUUGACCUCGAAUCAGGUGGGACUACCCGCUGAACUUAA
rnacentral:misc_RNA from 1 species